rnacentral:tRNA from 1 species
ACUGGCGUGGCUCAACGGUAGAGCAGCUGAUUUGUAAUCAGCACGUUGGGGGUCCGAUUCUCUCCGCCAGUU